ACUUCAGCAUUGUGGUUAAAUAACUGACUCGCAUUAAGUAUCAACGCUGACUAAACACCGGAACAGAUUCUAUGAAGCAUUAUGUGCGGUGGCGGAAAUCUUUCAGCCUCCUGAAAGAAUCACAGGCACCUUACAGCAAUCCAGUUAUUACAUAAACAGCGUUCUCAAGGGUAACUUUUUUCCCCCCUGGACACCCCAUGCUACACAAAGGCUUGGUUGCAUCAGAACACCGGCGUGGAAACAUUGUGCGAUGCAGUGAUGCCCCACAGGACUUUGACAUCAGUUAAGAGAUUGGAGAACUGCCUACAGAAUGAAUGUCAGAUGGAGAUUCAGGAAAUCUGUUCCCACUCCUCAUGCUGGUAAAGACGCAGUCUGAGAUGAUCAACACUCACUCAGCUGACUAAUGAGGUGGAUUCAGUGCAGGGCAGAGGGCUGGGCUCAACGUCUUUGUUCGACAGGCCUGCAGCUCCAUUCCUUCCCGGCACAUCCCAGGGGAGGCCUCGCAGACUGCCUAAUUGAAUCAAGUACACAUGGCCCCUCCCCCUUCCCACAUCAGCCCCUCCCCUUAUGAGAAGAGCCAAGAGGAGCGCUUCAGCUUUGAAGCUUUUGUUCUCCUCAGCACCAUGGACAGCUCCAGGGGGUUUCAAUGCUGCAACUGGUUGCCUGCUGCUGGAUGGAGAGUCAGAUGAUCACUGCAACAUCUUACCAACUGCUCUGUCUGAAAUCCAGAGUCCACAAAAAAAUAAAAAAUAAAAUAAAAGAGAGAUGCAGGAGUUUGGCAACCAUAAAUCAGUUGUUCAGUUUUGGUUAGAAACUAGGCUGCUUUCCUGUUGAAUCUUGUGCUUGAUUGAUCUGAGAGUAACAUCCACAACCCUAUUACUCACACAUCAAAGGACAGGUGCCUCAGACACACAAAUCAAACAAGCAUUAGGGGAGAAAAAGACAGCUCUGUGACUGUGCAUACCUUAGCGUUGGGUUUGUCCUGCAGCUGCAUCCCUCCUCCCUCAACCAUGCCCAUCACAGUUCAGCACCCUCGGUUUAGAGACAAAUCAAAGUUAUGCUUUCAGGAAAAGUCAGGUCAUUAGUAGGUCUACAGAAGCGAGGAAAUGGAGGGCAAUUUGCGAGGCAACCUUUUUAAUUGAAAGAAAUAGAUCAGAGUCUGCAGAGAUCGCUUCUCUGGGAAGCAUGCUGCCUCCUCCAGUUAGCUCAGCUGAUUUCAGUGAAUGUCAUGUAGAAUAUAUCAACAUAUGUAUAAUGUUGGAGUUGAACUUUUAAACCUGUGGCUGAAGAGGUAUCGAAUGCAUAGAAAAUUGAGAAACAAAACCAUGUAGUACACUGUUCCAAAAAUGACAAGUUCAGAACUGUUUUCAGUAUGAAAAAAAAUACAGUAAAAUACACUUAAGUCAAUAGGAAAAAUACAUUUUACAUGACAAGUACACCUAAAAUAAUUUUUAUAGAUCUGUGGAAAAACAAUUACCGUUUAAAUGUGUAGAACUUUUGUCAUGCUAAAACCAAACCUUCUCAAUAUUUUUUAUGGAAUUUUAUUUUCUAAUACCCCUAAAUAUAUUUCAAUGUAACCAGUUAUUUAGUUAGUGAGCAGAAUUUACUUAUUUUACUUUGUCAUAUUUAUUUUCAGAAAAAUAAGAUAAGACUUUUCAUUCUACAGGUGUGUGAGGUUAAUAAAGAUAUAUUCCUAAAGACUGGAAGCUGUAAUUGCAACAAUGGACACCCUGCAAAAAAUUAUUGGACCAGCAUUUGUUGCAAUUACAAAAUGAAAUCCUACAAAGUAUUCACUUAGAGGAUCUCUGCCUGCAAUUUUUCGAGUUCUUAUUUGCAUAAGCUUUUGAAAACCAUGUAUUAUUUUCCUUCCACUUCACACACUGUGAAUUACAUUCUUCAAGGUGCAUGGGUUCUUUUCCAAGAAACUGUUACUACUCUUCACAUCCAGCUUUUAUUUUAAAGCUCUGCCUGGAAUCCAACAUUACAAUGAGCAUGAGUCGAAGAUACCUAAGAGGGUAAAAGGCAAUUGCAGGGAACAUCUGGAUUAGUUCAGGCAUCAUAUAUCCACCGCUAAUGAAAUUAGAAGGGAGUCUGGAGAGUACACCCAAGCACAACUCUCACGUUUAUGAGCCACAGGAACUGCCAUGCCAUUUCAAUCUCGGAUGAGUCUGUGUCUGCUGUGCAGUCAGGCUGUAUAAGUGUUUCAUCUGGAGCACAAGAUGGCGAGACAACCAAGGCAAACUGAUAUGGGAUUGUCCUUCCUUCAUCAUGUUUAAAUUUGUUAUGUCUGUUUUGUUAUGUGGUUACUGAAAUGCUGAUAGGUGUAAUUACAGGGCUAAUGCUCUGGCUGUAAUGGUGUUAACCAGUAUGAAUGUCUUUCAGCUACUAUGCAAUCUCAAACUGAUUGCUCCAUCUUCUUACAGAGCAGCGCCACACCCAUCCCGGCUGUCCAUAUGUCCUGCUGCUAAGGUCUUAAUGCUCUGUGCGGUGAAGCAGCUGCUGAAAGAUGGACAGCGAGGUUGAUAAAACAUUGUGAUCAGUUGACUUACUAAUAUUGCAAAUCAUGUUAUGUACCUUCAUUAUGCACAUUCUUUAUGGUUGGAGGAGUUAUAACAGCUUUUUAACUGUAUAUCGAUUGAAAAUCUACAUUGGCUUUCAAAGGUCUUUUCUCUGAAGGUGAUCAAUAUCCACUCGGUUCAAAUUUCAAAUUCACUGGGCUUCCUUAUAUGGUAUUGAUUUGUGCAGUGAGUGCUCUGAAAAAUGUUUGAUCACUUCUAUACCCCAUCAGAAUGCAUAAACAUAAUCAUGAUUAGCAAGCAGGUUUAUCUUUCAGGGUGCGAAUGUUGUGUCCUAAGGAUGAAGAGUGUAACCUCAU